rnacentral:tRNA from 1 species
GAUCCCGUGGUCAAACGGCUACGACGCCUGGAUGACACCCAGGAGAGAGAUGGUUCGACUCCAUCCGGGAUCAC